GAUGAACGCUGGCGGCGUGCUUAACACAUGCAAGUCGAGCGAACAGAUGAGGCUUUCGCUGUUCUGUCGUUAGCGACGGAUGGGUAAGACAUACGCGGCGAACCUACCUAUAUGAAUUGAAUAACUUCGGGAAACCGGAGUUCAUACCGGGUAAUAUAUUGACCUGCAUGGUUCAUUAGUGAAAGAUGGUUUUUCUGUCACUCAUAGAUCGAUUCGCGCCGUAUUAGCUAGUUGGUAAGGUAACGGCUUACCAAGGCAACGAUGCGUAGCCGACCUGGGAGGGUGGUCGGCCACCCGGGAACGGAGACACGGUCCAUACUCCUACGGGAGGCAGCAGUAGGGAAUCUUCCGCAAUGGGCGAAAACCUUACGGAGCAGCGCCGCGUGAGUGAUGAAAGUCUUCGGAGCGUAAAACUCUGUUAUUAGGGAAGAACAAAUGUGUAAGUAACUAUGCACGUCUUGACGGUACCUAAUCAGAAAGCCCCGGCUAACUACGUG
rnacentral:rRNA from 1 species